AGUAUUUCCCUUGGAAGAUAAAAUGAUUGUGUGUUAAAAUGAACUGCAUUAAGUCAUGGACAAAUUCAUUAUGUCUUAAUGAAAACAUUGGUUUGCUAUCCAAAAAAGCUCGAAGGUGUUGUAAACCCACCUCAUGUGGUAUUGAGCUGUAUAGACUCUCCACAUCAAGGCUACAGAGAAUAGCAUGACCAGUGAUUUUUAUCCCUUCUAUAAUAUUUAAUGUAUGUUUAGUGUCCUUUAAAUAUGAAGGGAGUUCAAACACGAGCUUCCUUAGAAUCUGAUCCACAUAUAGACUUAUAUUUUGGGUCAGGUUACCUCUGCCAGAGACUAUAGGUCUUCCAUUUAAUAUGGGUUGCUGUUUAUGUACUUUUGGGAGUGCAUAAAACGUGGCAGUGACUGGAUUUUUAACAAACAUGAAAUUAUAUUCUUCCUUUGAUAUUAGAGAUAAGGAUAAUGCCGUGUCAAGAAUUGUUUUUAAUUCAGCGAGAUACUUUUGUGUGGG